GACGAACGCUGGCGGCGUGCUUAACACAUGCAAGUCGAACGGAAAGGCCCUGCUUUAGUGGGGUACUCGAGUGGCGAACGGGUGAGUAACACGUGAGUAACGUGCCCUUGACUGUGGGAUAACGUUAGUAAACUGGGGCUAAUGCCGGAUAGGAGCUCCUGCUGCAUGGUGGGGGUUGGAGAGUUUCGGCGGUGGGGGAUGGACGCCCGGCUUAUUAGCUUGUGGGUGGGGUAGUGGCAGACCAAGGCUUUGACGGGCAGCCGGCCGGCCAGGGGGACCGGCCACAAUGCGACUGAGGUGCCGCCCCGCCUCCUCCGGCAGGCAGCAGUGGGGAAUAUUGUACCAUGGGCGGAGGCCGCAUGCCGCAGCGCCGCCGCCGGGAUGACGGCCUUCUGGGUGUCAUCCACUUUCGUCCGCGAAGAAGAGACAGUGACGGUAAUGGGUAAAGAAGCACCGGCUAACUCCGUG
rnacentral:rRNA from 1 species